rnacentral:sRNA from 1 species
UGGUCGGAUUGCUCGGGCGAGAUCAAAUGGGCGUGCGACUCGACGGCACCGGCGGUGACGAUGAAGGGACCGCCGGCAAUCGGCGCCGUGGUGUGACCGACGACCAUAUCGGGAUGCACAUCCGGCAUCACGUCGGGAUUGCCGGCCUUGCCGAUGCCGACGAUUCGGCCGUCGCGGAUGCCGAUAUCGGCCUUCACGAUACCGGCGACCGCGUCGACGAUCGUGGCGUUCUUGAUGACGACAUCCAGGAUCUUAUGCGAUGCCGUCCGGUAGGCGUUGACGCCCUCGCCG